GGGUUGUGAGGUUAAGCGACUAAGCGUACACGGUGGAUGCCCUGGCAGUCAGAGGCGAUGAAGGACGUGCUAAUCUGCGAAAAGCGUCGGUAAGGUGAUAUGAACCGUUAUAACCGGCGAUGUCCGAAUGGGGAAACCCAGUGCAAUUCGUUGCACUAUCGUUAACUGAAUACAUAGGUUAACGAGGCGAACCGGGGGAACUGAAACAUCUAAGUACCCCGAGGAAAAGAAAUCAACCGAGAUUCCCCCAGUAGCGGCGAGCGAACGGGGAGCAGCCCAGAGUCUGAAUCAGCUUGUGUGUUAGUGGAACGGUCUGGAAAGUCCGACGGUACAGGGUGAUAGUCCCGUACACCAAAAUGCACAGGUUGUGAACUCGAAGAGUAGGGCGGGACACGUGGUAUCCUGUCUGAAUAUGGGGGGACCAUCCUCCAAGGCUAAAUACUCCUGACUGACCGAUAGUGAACCAGUACCGUGAGGGAAAGGCGAAAAGAACCCCGGCGAGGGGAGUGAAAAAGAACCUGAAACCGUGUACGUACAAGCAGUGGGAGCACCUUCGGGUGUGACUGCGUACCUUUUGUAUAAUGGGUCAGCGACUUAUAUUCUGUAGCAAGGUUAACCGUAUAGGGGAGCCGCAGGGAAACCGAGUCUUAACUGGGCGUUAAGUUGCAGGGUAUAGACCCGAAACCCGGUGAUCUAGCCAUGGGCAGGUUGAAGGUUGGGUAACACUAACUGGAGGACCGAACCGACUAAUGUUGAAAAAUUAGCGGAUGACUUGUGGCUGGGGGUGAAAGGCCAAUCAAACCGGGAGAUAGCUGGUUCUCCCCGAAAGCUAUUUAGGUAGCGCCUCGUGAACUCAUCUUCGGGGGUAGAGCACUGUUUCGGCUAGGGGGUCAUCCCGACUUACCAACCCGAUGCAAACUACGAAUACCGAAGAAUGUUAUCACGGGAGACACACGGCGGGUGCUAACGUCCGUCGUGAAGAGGGAAACAACCCAGACCGCCAGCUAAGGUCCCAAAGUCAUGGUUAAGUGGGAAACGAUGUGGGAAGGCACAGACAGCCAGGAUGUUGGCUUAGAAGCAGCCAUCAUUUAAAGAAAGCGUAAUAGCUCACUGGUCGAGUCGGCCUGCGCGGAAGAUGUAACGGGGCUAAACCAUGCACCGAAGCUGCGGCAGCGACACUAUGUGUUGUUGGGUAGGGGAGCGUUCUGUAAGCCUGCGAAGGUGACCUGUGAGGGUUGCUGGAGGUAUCAGAAGUGCGAAUGCUGACAUAAGUAACGAUAAAGCGGGUGAAAAGCCCGCUCGCCGGAAGACCAAGGGUUCCUGUCCAACGUUAAUCGGGGCAGGGUGAGUCGACCCCUAAGGCGAGGCCGAAAGGCGUAGUCGAUGGGAAACAGGUUAAUAUUCCUGUACUUGGUGUUACUGCGAAGGGGGGACGGAGAAGGCUAUGUUAGCCGGGCGACGGUUGUCCCGGUUUAAGCAUGUAGGCUGGUUGUCCAGGCAAAUCCGGAUAAUCAAGGCUGAGGUGUGAUGACGAGGCACUACGGUGCUGAAGUAACAAAUGCCCUGCUUCCAGGAAAAGCCUCUAAGCAUCAGGUAACAUCAAAUCGUACCCCAAACCGACACAGGUGGUCAGGUAGAGAAUACCAAGGCGCUUGAGAGAACUCGGGUGAAGGAACUAGGCAAAAUGGUGCCGUAACUUCGGGAGAAGGCACGCUGGUGUGUAGGUGAAGUCCCUGCGGAUGGAGCUGAGACCAGUCGAAGAUACCAGCUGGCUGCAACUGUUUAUUAAAAACACAGCACUGUGCAAACACGAAAGUGGACGUAUACGGUGUGACGCCUGCCCGGUGCCGGAAGGUUAAUUGAUGGGGUUAUCCGUAAGGAGAAGCUCUUGAUCGAAGCCCCGGUAAACGGCGGCCGUAACUAUAACGGUCCUAAGGUAGCGAAAUUCCUUGUCGGGUAAGUUCCGACCUGCACGAAUGGCGUAAUGAUGGCCAGGCUGUCUCCACCCGAGACUCAGUGAAAUUGAACUCGCUGUGAAGAUGCAGUGUACCCGCGGCAAGACGGAAAGACCCCGUGAACCUUUACUAUAGCUUGACACUGAACAUUGAGCCUUGAUGUGUAGGAUAGGUGGGAGGCUUUGAAGCGUGGACGCCAGUCUGCGUGGAGCCAACCUUGAAAUACCACCCUUUAAUGUUUGAUGUUCUAACGUUGGCCCCUGACCGGGGUUGCGGACAGUGUCUGGUGGGUAGUUUGACUGGGGCGGUCUCCUCCCAAAGCGUAACGGAGGAGCACGAAGGUUAGCUAAUCCUGGUCGGACAUCAGGAGGUUAGUGCAAUGGCAUAAGCUAGCUUGACUGCGAGCGUGACGGCGCGAGCAGGUGCGAAAGCAGGUCAUAGUGAUCCGGUGGUUCUGAAUGGAAGGGCCAUCGCUCAACGGAUAAAAGGUACUCCGGGGAUAACAGGCUGAUACCGCCCAAGAGUUCAUAUCGACGGCGGUGUUUGGCACCUCGAUGUCGGCUCAUCACAUCCUGGGGCUGAAGUAGGUCCCAAGGGUAUGGCUGUUCGCCAUUUAAAGUGGUACGCGAGCUGGGUUUAGAACGUCGUGAGACAGUUCGGUCCCUAUCUGCCGUGGGCGCUGGAGAAUUGAGGGGGGCUGCUCCUAGUACGAGAGGACCGGAGUGGACGCAUCACUGGUGUUCGGGUUGUCAUGCCAAUGGCACUGCCCGGUAGCUAAAUGCGGAAGAGAUAAGUGCUGAAAGCAUCUAAGCACGAAACUUGCCCCGAGAUGAGUUCUCCCUGAGACUUUAAGUCUCCUGAAGGAACGUUAAAGACGAUGACGUUGAUAGGCCGGGUGUGUAAGCGCAGCGAUGCGUUGAGCUAACCGGUACUAAUGAACCGUGAGGCUUAACCUUACAACGCCGAAG
rnacentral:rRNA from 1 species